UGAGUAACACGUAUCCAACCUGCCGUCUACUCUUGGACAGCCUUCUGAAGGAAGAUUAAUCCAGGAUGGCAUCAUGAGUUCACAUGUCCGCAUGAUUAAAGGUAUUUUCCGGUAGACGAUGGGGAUGCGUUCCAUUAGAUAGUAGGCGGGGUAACGGCCCACCUAGUCAACGAUGGAUAGGGGUUCUGAGAGGAAGGUCCCCCACAUUGGAACUGAGACACGGUCCAA
rnacentral:rRNA from 1 species